rnacentral:rRNA from 2 species
GGGCGUCUCUUUCUCAUUACGAGUGGAGGCGCACCUAUAGCGUACACGCUGAUACCCGAAAGAUGGUGAACUAUGCCUGGCCAGGACGAAGCCAGGGGAAACCCUGGUGGAGGUCCGCAGCGAUUCUGACGUGCAAAUCGAUCGUCGGAGCUGGGUAUAGGGGCGAAAGACCAAUCGAACCAUCUAGUAGCUGGUUCCCUCUGAAGUUUCCCUCAGGAUAGCUUGCGCUCGGUUGAGACGAGUCUCAUCCGGUAGAGCGAAUGAUUAGAGGCCUUGGGGUCGAAACGACCUCAACCUAUUCUCAAACUCCAAAUAGAUGAGAUCCCCGGCUUGCUUAAAAGUGAAGCCGGGACUCGGAUCAGAGUGCCAAGUGGGCCAAUUUU